CGCGUAGGUGGUUUUGUAAGUUGGAGGUGAAAUCCCCGGGCUCAACCUGGGAACUGCCUCCAAAACUGCAUGACUAGAGUACGGUAGAGGGUAGUGGAAUUUCCUGUGUAGCGGUGAAAUGCGUAGAUAUAGGAAGGAACACCAGUGGCGAAGGCGACUACCUGGACUGAUACUGACACUGAAGUGCGAAAGCGUGGGGAGCAAACA
rnacentral:rRNA from 1 species